UACGAAGGGGGCUAGCGUUGUUCGGAAUUACUGGGCGUAAAGGGCGCGUAGGCGGAUACUUAAGUCGGGGGUGAAAGCCCAGGGCUCAACCCUGGAAUAGCCUUCGAUACUGGGUAUCUUGAGUUCGGGAGAGGUAAGUGGAACUCCGAGUGUAGAGGUGAAAUUCGUAGAUAUUCGGAAGAACACCAGUGGCGAAGGCGACUUACUGGCCCGAUACUGACGCUGAAGCACGAAAGCGUGGGGAGCAAACAGG
rnacentral:rRNA from 1 species